rnacentral:rRNA from 1 species
GGCGAACGCUGGCGGCGUGCUUAACACAUGCAAGUCGAACGGAAAGGCCCUGCUUUUGUGGGGUGCUCGAGUGGCGAACGGGUGAGUAACACGUGAGUAACCUGCCCUUGACUUUGGGAUAACUUCAGGAAACUGGGGCUAAUACCGGAUAGGAGCUCCUGCUGCAUGGUGGGGGUUGGAAAGUUUCGGCGGUUGGGGAUGGACUCGCGGCUUAUCAGCUUGUUGGUGGGGUAGUGGCUUACCAAGGCUUUGACGGGUAGCCGGCCUGCGAGGGUGACCGGCCACAUUGGGACUGAGAUACGGCCCAGACUCCUACGGGAGGCAGCAGUGGGGAAUAUUGCACAAUGGGCGGAAGCCUGAUGCAGCAACGCCGCGUGCGGGAUGACGGCCUUCGGGUUGUAAACCGCUUUCGCCUGUGACGAAGCGUGAGUGACGGUAAUGGGUAAAGAAGCACCGGCUAACUACGU